rnacentral:misc_RNA from 1 species
GUGAAUCAUCAAAUUUUUGAACGCAAAUUGCACUCUCUUCGGAGAGUAUGACUGUUUGAGGGUCAGACUCUAUAAAUCGACAUCCUCGCUUUUUUGCGGUGGAGUUCGUCGGAAAUUGGGGAAUUUUAAAUCUUUUUUAUUUAAGCGACUUAAAAUUUUGUUUUUGUUCCAUUCACUUUUCUAUUAUCUAUUUCUU